rnacentral:sRNA from 1 species
GAAUGUAAAGAACAAUUUCAUACUUGUAAAUUGCUCAUAUUUUAAAUGUUACAUGUAUUAAAAUGUGAGUAAAUACAUGUUCUUGAUCAAUUUUUAUGCAUUGAGGUGUUAUAGGGCCCGUAAUUUUAUAAUCAAAUAAUUGAAGAUAUUGUAAAGUACAUGUUUUUUAAAGAUAAACUCCAAAGAUGGUAUAAGAACAAUUCUAAUGGGAAUAGCACAUAACUUCACCAACUGAAUGAUAAAAUAUAUUUAUUAUGAACAUGCAGUUACAAACAGUACAUGUACACCAGGGUUUGCAUUAGCACAGACUAUUAUUACAUGUACUAGGAUCAAAAUCUCUACCCAUGAUUGUUCAUGGGCUGUGUGGGUACUGUAUACAGAUGUACCCCCCACUUGGCUUUACAUGUUACUGGUGAUGUGUGACAAUCCGGGCUGUAAUGGGAUUCUGUUACUGGUUCUUAACAUUACAGUCUUGUUUUGUUUUCUUUAAUUUUGUUAUUUUUAACUGUUGUAUAUUGAAUUUAUUGUUAAACUGUAUGCUGUAAUCAUCCUCAUUCAAUAAAAUGUUCAG